rnacentral:rRNA from 1 species
AAAUCCGGUUGAUCCUGCCGGAGGCUACCGCUAUUGGAGUUCGAUUAAGCCAUGCGAGUCGAGAGUCUUAGGGACUCGGCGUACCGCUCAGUAACACGUGGGUAACCUGCCCUAUGCUGGGGAAUAACCUCGGGAAACUGAGAAUAAUGCCCCAUAGUCCACAAUGCCUGGAACGGUUUGUGG